rnacentral:rRNA from 1 species
UAACACAUGCAAGUCGAACGGUAACAGGAUGUGCUUGCACAUCGCUGACGAGUGGCGGACGGGUGAGUUAUGCUUGGGAACUUGCCUUUGCGAGGGGGAUAACAGUUGGGAACGACUGCUAAUACCGCAUAAUGUCUACGGACCAAACGGGGCUUCGGCUCCGGCGCAGAGAGAGGCCCAAGUGAGAUUAGCUAGUUGGUAAGGUAACGGCUUACCAAGGCGACGAUCUCUAGCUGUUCUGAGAGGAAGAUCAGCCACACUGGGACUGAGACACGGCCCAGACUCCUACGGGAGGCAGCAGUGGGGAAUAUUGCACAAUGGGGGAAACCCUGAUGCAGCCAUGCCGCGUGUGUGAAGAAGGCCUUCGGGUUGUAAAGCACUUUCAGUUGUGAGGAAAAGUUAGUAGUUAAUACCUGCUAGCCGUGACGUUAACAACAGAAGAAGCACCGGCUAACUCCGUGCCAGCAGCCGCGGUAAUACGGAGGGUGCGAGCGUUAAUCGGAAUUACUGGGCGUAAAGCGCACGCA